CUGAAGCUUGGUGCUUGCACCGAGCGGAUGAGUUGCGAACGGGUGAGUAACGCGUAGGUAACCUGCCUCUUAGCGGGGGAUAACUAUUGGAAACGAUAGCUAAUACCGCAUAAAAGUCGAUAUCGCAUGAUAUUGAUUUGAAAGGUGCAAUUGCAUCACUAAGAGAUGGACCUGCGUUGUAUUAGCUAGUUGGUGAGGUAACGGCUCACCAAGGCGACGAUACAUAGCCGACCUGAGAGGGUGAUCGGCCACACUGGGACUGAGACACGGCCCAGACUCCUACGGGAGGCAGCAGUAGGGAAUCUUCGGCAAUGGGGGCAACCCUGACCGAGCAACGCCGCGCGAGUGAAGAAGGUUUUCGGAUCGUAAAGCUCUGUUGUAAGAGAAGAACGAGUGUGAGAGUGGAAAGUUCACACUGUGACGGUAACUUACCAGAAAGGGACGGCUAACUACGUGCCAGCAGCCGCGGUAAUACGUAGGUCCCGAGCGUUAUCCGGAUUUAUUGGGCGUAAAGCGAGCGCAGGCGGUUAGAUAAGUCUGAAGUUAAAGGCUGUGGCUUAACCAUAGUACGCUUUGGAAACUGUUUAACUUGAGUGCAGAAGGGGAGAGUGGAAUUCCAUGUGUAGCGGUGAAAUGCGUAGAUAUAUGGAGGAACACCGGUGGCGAAAGCG
rnacentral:rRNA from 1 species